rnacentral:rRNA from 1 species
UACGUAGGGGGCAAGCGUUGUCCGGAAUCAUUGGGCGUAAAGCGCGUGUAGGCGGCCCGGAAAGUCUGGUGUGAAAUCUUGAGGCUCAACCUCAAGCUGUCACUGGAUACUGUCGGGCUCGAGUCCGGAAGAGGCGAGUGGAAUUCCUGAUGUAGCGGUGAAAUGCGCAGAUAUCAGGAGGAACACCAAUGGCGAAGGCAGCUCGCUGGGACGUGACUGACGCUGAGACGCGAAAGCGUGGGGAGCAAACAGG